rnacentral:tRNA from 1 species
GAGGGUACACCUCAGUGGUAGAGCUCAUGCUUAGCAUGCAUGAGGUCCUGGGUUCGAUCCCCAGUACUGCCA